rnacentral:rRNA from 1 species
CUACGGGAGGCACCAAUGGGGAAUAUUGCACAAUGGGGGAAACCCUGAUGCAGCAACGCCGCGUGGAGGAUGACACAUUUCGGUGCGUAAACUCCUUUUAUAGGUCAAGAUAAUGACGGUAGCCUAUGAAUAAGCGCCGGCUAACUCCGUGCCAGCAGUCGCGGUAAUACGGAGGGCGCAAGCGUUACUCGGAAUCACUGGGCGUAAAGAGCAUGUAGGCGGGUUAAUAAGUCAGAAGUGAAAUCCAAUAGCUCAACUAUUGAACUGCUUUUGAAACUGUUAACCUAGAGUGUGGGAGAGGUAGAUGGAAUUUCUGGUGUAGGGGUAAAAUCCGUAGAGAUCAGAAGGAAUACCGAUUGCGAAGGCGAUCUACUGGAACAUUACUGACGCUGAGAUGCGAAAGCGUGGGGAGCAAACAGGAUUAGAUACCCCUGUAGUC